CGAGGAUUAGCUCAGCUGGGAGAGCACCUGCCUUACAAGCAGGGGGUCGGCGGUUCGAUCCCGUCAUCCUCCACCA
rnacentral:tRNA from 1 species